GAACAAUUCAUAAGACGAUGAUGCUGUUGAUGAUAAUCUCCAUAUGUUUGCAGUUUUUAAAAACGAAUGUAAUGCCAAUCAAGUAAUGGAAUUUUUAACGAUAUGGAAUCGAAAAACAUUUGGAUAUUUGCAAUUGUUUAUUCAGCAAUACAACAUUUUGCUUCGUCUUCAACACCAUUAAAACGUCCCCGGGCCGGAGAUCCAUUUGAUACAUUUCCGAAAAAUUUCUGGCAAGAAUUCUCAUCGCCCUUUACCGACACACCAGAGGAUGAGGAACUCGAAGUAACAGAGACAACAACGCAUGAACCAUUUCCAUUCUUUGCCGAUCCAUAUACCACCGUCAAUGUGAGCACCCAAUUGGGCGCCAGAGUAUACCUGCACUGUCGAGUUAAUGACUUACAGGGAAAA